GUGGGGAAUAUUGGACAAUGGGCGCAAGCCUGAUCCAGCCAUGCCGCGUGAGUGAUGAAGGCCUUAGGGUUGUAAAGCUCUUUCAGUGGGGACGAUAAUGACGGUACCCACAGAAGAAGCCCCGGCUAACUUCGUGCCAGCAGCCGCGGUAAUACGAAGGGGGCUAGCGUUGUUCGGAUUUACUGGGCGUAAAGCGCACGUAGGCGGAUCGUUAAGUCGGGGGUGAAAUCCUGGAGCUCAACUCCAGAACUGCCUUCGAUACUGGCGAUCUUGGGUCCGGAAGAGGUGAGUGGAACUCCUAGUGUAGAGGUGGAAUUCGUAGAUAUUAGGAAGAACACCAGUGGCGAAGGCGGCUCACUGGUCCGGUACUGACGCUGAGGUGCGAAAGCGUGGGGAGCAAACAGGAUUAGAAACCCCGGUAGUCC
rnacentral:rRNA from 1 species